CCCUUAGAUGUCCUGGGCCGCACGCGCGCUACACUGACAUGUUCAACAAGUUUCUCCUAGUUCGACAGGACUGGGAAAUCUUUGAACGCAUGUCGUGAUAGGGAUAGAUCAUUGCAAUUAUUGAUCUUGAACGAGGAAUUCCUAGUAAACGCGAGUCAUCAGCUCGCAUUGAUUACGUCCCUGCCCUUUGUACACACCGCCCGUCGCACCUACCGACUGAAUGUUUCGGUGAAGAUUCCGGAUAGGACUGAUUUGAUUUAUUUCAUUUCUGACCUAAAAGCUAUCUAAACCUCAACAUUUAGAGGAAGGUGAAGUCGUAACA
rnacentral:rRNA from 1 species